rnacentral:rRNA from 1 species
AUGGCCAAAGGUCCAAAGGUAACACAUCCUGAGUAUGUUUAUUUCAAUAGUGAUGAAGAUGACUUGCUUGUGGAUGAUGAUUUACUUGUUGACAACUCUAGUGAUGAAUACUAUGAUGAAACAUCAAUUAAUCAUGCUAAUCAAACGGAUGACAAUGAUAAGGAGAAAAUUGAGUUUCUAACUAAAGAACUAAACACUCUUAAGUUGGCUCAUGAAACUAUCUUCGAGGAUCAUCGAGAACUUUUAAGGGCUCAUGAGAAUUUACGCUUUGAAAAGCUCAAUCUUGAGCAAGAGCAUGAGUUCUUAAAAGAAAUCAAUGAUGAUCUCCGUAAGAAAAGUUCUUCUUACAUUGCCAAGCGUUUACUCCUAUCUACUUACAUGCCUCAAGUUAAGUCUAGUAAGAAGUACAAAAAAGAUACUUCCUCUAGUAGUAACAAUAAUAAUGUCAAAUCCAAUAUUGUUGCUUCUAGUAGUUCUCUUGAUUCCACUAAUGAUUCUAUUAGCCAAGAUACACUUGAGCAAGAAAACAGCUUAUUGAAGGGAAUUAUAGAGAAAGGUGUUUACAAGAGCCUUGCCGGGAGUAACUAA